rnacentral:sRNA from 1 species
UGAAAUUGCUCAGCAGGUAGGGAUUAGCUUAGCUCUUGCUUCAUAAACCUUAUUCUUAAAUCACAUUCCAAGAUGGAAAGAGAGAAUUGGCUAUCAACAUUGUCCUUUGACAUCCACAACUGUAACACAAGCUAUUUAUUUCUAUGUCUGCAUGUUACUGUGUGUAGAGGCCAGGAGUCAAUGUAUCUUCCUUGAUCUCUUUUGCACCUUGGUUUUUGAGGCAGGCUCCCCCACUGAACCUAGAACUCGCUGAUUUGCUAGACUGUCUGGCUCAUGAACCCCAGGAACUGUUCUGUCUCUGCCUCUCCAGCAUUGGAUCAUAAACACACUUUACCUACUUUUCUUUCAUUUUUUUACUUUACACUGACUUAUUGUUGGAGGGCAGAGCUUCAUGCUACACAGCCCGCAUGGAGGCCGGAGGCAAUGUGAUGAAGACAGCUCUCAUUUCCACCAUGUGUGCCUGCUUUGCCUGGAUUGGCAGCAUCAUGACAGCCCAGGCUUGGCUUUUUCUAGGGAGCAAACUCAGGUGUCUCCAUGCUUGCAAGGUAAGCACAUUACUCCUCAUAGGUCCCUAAGGACAUAUCAUUUCUGGUUUCUAGUGCUACACUGUGCCUGCUCUGAACUGGAGCCCUCAGGAAGCUUUCCAGGCAGCCAUGAGGCCAUUUACCACAUUUUGGUAAAUGUAGUCAAGAUAUUCUAGUAAACAGCUGGCAAUGAUUUAAAGAAGCCACAGAGAGGUCCAGGAAAUGGACCUUUCCCCUACAAUUUGAUCUUUCUUUAUGGUAACAUCAUUGACCUGCAAUGUGAUGGGGCCCAGAUAUGGGAUGGCAGUACCAAGGUCCCCAAACCCUAUGUGACAAAAAUCCACUAUAUGGUAUUUUUAAUUUUUGUUUUGUUUUUGACACAAUGUCUUGCUAUGUAGCUUUGAACUCUCCAUCCUCCUGCCUCAGUUCCCUGCGUACUGGGAAGAUAAGCAGGUGCCACCAAGUGUUUACAUUGCCAUCAUUCCCCAACAAUCUCAACGCCCAACCUUAUGAAUGACUAUGCUUCAGUUAAAGCUCAGGGUCCCGCUCUUGGCUCUGACAGCUGAGUCUCUACCCAUUCACCUGUCACCUGAAUAUGUAAUCUACACAGACAUGACCCAAGGAAGUACACAUAUGCAAAGGAAAAAUGGUUUCUACAGAGGAGACUAGGCAUGAACCAGAACAGCUGCUCUUCUCCUGGAGGAAACUGGUAGCUGAAAACCAAAAUGCCCCAUGCCCUCACUUGUAAACAGUAGUGGUCACACAACUACACUUGAUGACUGAAUGACUUAAAUUCUGAUCCAGUGGCCAUAGGUCCAUUUUCUGUUCCCUUUUGUUAAUAUCAGGAUCUGAGCUACACACAUGACAGAUAUGAUGAGCAUUUGGACCAUGAAAUCAACUUAAAGAUUGAAGAUUUAUGUGAAGACAGCAAAGCAGAUCUAAACAAAAAGGAAGGUGUUAGUGGCAGCAAGAAUAACCUGGGGUGUUGACUGACCCAUAGGACUACACCAGCCUCAAAAGGGGCUGUGUCCUAAUUUGCUGUGAGCAUCAACGUUCACCUCCUGAUGAGGUUGCUGUCUUUCCUGUCACCACUGUAGAAUUUUGUAUUUCAGUCUAUU